UUCAAAUUUUAACAUAUUUUAUUGAUUUAGGGGCCAAACAAGGCAGCAUUUGGUCAGUUAAGAAAGGCACCUCAUUGAAAAUAAUACAUCACAGUGCUGUUGAGUGAUCCCAGUCACAGGAUUUGAGAAUGGAAAGGACAAUCUUUGGAUGACAUAGCUUAGGACACUUGCUCAUUUAUUUAAAAGAGUCCCUUCACACAUUGCAGAUAAAAGAAGGCAAGAGCAUAGGAUUGUGGCAUGUGCUGGGUAGCUGUGAGAGGUUACUCAUGAGAUUACGUAGCCUAGUAAAUUAGUGGUAAGUCAGGGGAAGGGAAUCAGCCUCCCUUUCCAUUUCAUUCCCUUCUCCCUCCCCUUGAUUCCAGUUUGUUUGAUUUGUUGAGCCACCAUCCCUAUGAAUACACCUUACAUCUCUUUCAGAUGUGGCUUUGGAGAAGGCUGCUAGGAUGCUUGCGAACACGACAUCAGGGGUCUGGGAUGCAUUGAUGGCAGAGUGGAUCCCCCGUUUCCUGUAGUACUCUAUGAGUGGGGUGGUUUGAGUGUGGUAGGCUUGCCGGCAGAUUUUCAAGGCCUUUUCAUUAUCAUCUGAUCAACGGAUCAAGGGUUCCCCGGUGAUGUCAUCUUUCAUGGGCUCUUUUGGAGGGUUGAACUCCUCGUGGUAGGAACGGCCACUCUUGGGGUGAUCAGCCUUCCUGUGAUUCUUCGGAUCAGCAGAGAGUCUGGGAUGCUGAAUUCAAUCACAGAAUCAAGCUUCUCUUUCCUCUUCUCCAUGAGGUCAUCGAGCAUUUCUGCCUGCCUCACAGUCCGAGGGAAGCCAUCCAGAAGAAAACCAUUUUUGCACAAGGGGGUCUCCAAAUUCUUCUCAAUGAGCUCCACUACCAUUUCAUCACUCACCAGUUU
rnacentral:lncRNA from 10 species